GAUGAACGCUGGCGGCGUGCCUAAUACAUGCAAGUCGAGCGAACAGACGAGGAGCUUGCUUCUCUGACGUUAGCGGCGGACGGGUGAGUAACACGUGGAUAACCUACCUAUAAGACUGGGAUAACUUCGGGAAACCGGAGCUAAUACCGGAUAAUAUUUUGAACCGCAUGGUUCAAUAGUGAAAGACGGUCUUGCUGUCACUUAUAGAUGGAUCCGCGCCGCAUUAGCUAGUUGGUAAGGUAACGGCUUACCAAGGCAACGAUGCGUAGCCGACCUGAGAGGGUGAUCGGCCACACUGGAACUGAGACACGGUCCAGACUCCUACGGGAGGCAGCAGUAGGGAAUCUUCCGCAAUGGGCGAAAGCCUGACGGAGCAACGCCGCGUGAGUGAUGAAGGUCUUCGGAUCGUAAAACUCUGUUAUUAGGGAAGAACAAAUGUGUAAGUAACUAUGCACAUCUUGACGGUACCUAAUCAGAAAGCCACGGCUAACUACGUG
rnacentral:rRNA from 1 species